AAUAGAUGAAACCAUUGACUUAUUCUCACAUGUUUGACCAUUCGUCUUAUUUAAAAAAUUUACGUAAUUAUAAUUUAUUUUGUUAUGAGUUGUUUUAUCACUUAUAUUACUUUAAGUGUGAUUUAUAUCUUAUACAUUUGCAUAAAAUUUUUAAAUAAGACGAAUGGUUAAACAUAUGAGAAAAAGUCAACGGCGUCAUCUAUU
rnacentral:pre_miRNA from 1 species